rnacentral:tRNA from 1 species
GGGUAUAUAGCUCAGUGGUAGAGUGUGUGCUUAGCAUGCACAAGGUGCUGGGUUCAAUCCCCAGUGCCUCCA